AAUAUUUAAAUAGAGCAGGCGAUACACCUUGAGGGUGUAUGGGGCUGGGCCGGUUUACCGGCAGCAGGUAAAAACAAACCUGCGGGACUAUG
rnacentral:ncRNA from 2 species